rnacentral:RNase_P_RNA from 1 species
GGCAAGGAACGGGCGUUCGCUGGCGACUCCGUCAAAAGAGUUCGUUGGAGGAAAGUCCGGGCUCCAAAAGCAGGGUACUGGCUAACGGCCAGGCAUUUGUUCCACUGCAGUACUGGGUGAAACAAGUGACGGAAAGUGCAACAGAAAGCAAACCGCCUGCGACCGCAAGGUCGUCGGUAAGGGUGAAACGGCGAGGUAAGAGCUCACCGCGCCAGGAGUGAUCCUGGUGGCAUGGCAAACCCUACCUGGAGCAAGUUCAAAUAGGGAGGCCCGCGGAGUUUCGACUUCGCAAAGACCACGCUUGGUCGCAGCCUCCGGGUAAGAACGCUUGAGGUUCGCGGUAACGCGGACCCCAGAGGAAUGAACGCCUCCAUUGGAAACAAUGAAGACAGAACCCGGCUUACAGUUCCUUGCCAAUU